CCUACGGGAGGCAGCAGUGAGGAAUCUUGGUCAAUGGGCGCGAGCCUGAACCAGCCAAGUCGCGUGAGGGAGGACGGCCCUACGGGUUGUAAACCUCUUUUGCCGGGGAGCAACGGGCGCCACGUGUGGCGUCACUGAGAGUACCCGGAGACAAAGCAUCGGCUAACUCCGUGCCAGCAGCCGCGGUAAUACGGAGGAUGCGAGCGUUAUCCGGAUUUAUUGGGUUUAAAGGGUGCGUAGGCGGAUCGUUAAGACAGUGGUAAAAUUGAGGGGCUCAACCCCUUCCCGCCAUUGAAACUGGCGUUCUUGAGUGGAAGAGAGGUAUGCGGAAUGCGUGGUGUAGCGGUGAAAUGCAUAGAUAGCACGCAGAACCCCGAUUGCGAAGGCAGCAUGCCGGCUUCCGACUGACGCUGAAGCACGAAAGCGUGGGGAUCGAACAGGAUUAGAUACCCGAGUAGUC
rnacentral:rRNA from 1 species